rnacentral:rRNA from 1 species
GAUGAACGCUGGCGGUAUGCUUAACUCAUGCAAGUCGAACGGACUCUUCGGAGUUAGUGGCGGACGGGUGAGUAACGCGUGAGAAUCUGGCUUUGGGUUCGGGACAACCACUGGAAACGGUGGCUAAUACCGGAUGUGCCGAGAGGUAAAAGAGAAAUUGCCUGAAGAUGAGCUCGCGUCUGAUUAGCUAGUUGGUGAGGUAAAGGCUCACCAAGGCAGCGAUCAGUAGCUGGUCUGAGAGGAUGACCAGCCACACUGGGACUGAGACACGGCCCAGACUCCUACGGGAGGCAGCAGUGGGGAAUUUUCCGCAAUGGGCGAAAGCCUGACGGAGCAGUACCGCGUGAGGGAAGAAGGCUCUUGGGUUGUAAACCUCUUUUCUUAGGGAAGAACAAAAUGACGGUACCUAAGGAAUCAGCAUCGGCUAACUCCGUG